AGGUCCAUAAAACAUGCACAUAACAAUUCAAACUCAAGUAACUGCUGUCACCACAUAGUAGAAGGGUGCUACACAUAAGUGAACUGAACCGUAAUAUAGCAGCUUAUUGGAGAACAAGGGUGCUACAGCAUAAUCACUUCCAUCAGAGCCAUGUUACUGGAGAACAAGGCAUUGCUGUGAACCAGCCACCAUGGCAGGCUGGGUGCCUGAGCUAACAGAAUCAACUUCCUCAGCACAUUGAGGCUUGACACUCAAGUCAACAGAUGCAAUGGCCUGAAAAACAAGAGCAGUGACUUCCUCGUAUCUCUCUUCAGAGAGAGAGACCUCGGCAAGAAG
rnacentral:lncRNA from 1 species